GGGAUUAGAUACCCCACUAUGCUUAGCCUUAAACUUAGAUGUUAAAUUUACAAGCAGCAUCCGCCAGGGUACUACAAGCGCUAGCUUAAAACCCAAAGGACUUGACGGUGUCUCAGACCCACCUAGAGGAGCCUGUUCUAGAACCGAUAAUCCCCGUUAAACCUCACCACCCCUUGUUUUCCCCGCCUAUAUACCGCCGUCGCAAGCUUACCCUGUGAAGGUCUCAUAGUAAGCAAAAUGGGUACAUCCCAAAACGUCAGGUCGAGGUGUAGCUUACGAGGUGGGAAGAAAUGGGCUACAUUUUCUAUAUCAGAAUAAUACGAACAGCACCAUGAAAUUUGUGCUCGAAGGUGGAUUUAGUAGUAAGAAAUAAAUAGAGAGUCUUUUUGAACCAGGCUCUGAGACGCGCACACACCGCCCC
rnacentral:rRNA from 1 species